rnacentral:rRNA from 1 species
AGGACGAACGCUGGCGGCGUGCUUAACACAUGCAAGUCGAGCGGUAAGGCCCCUUCGGGGGUACACGAGCGGCGAACGGGUGAGUAACACGUGAGCAACCUGCCCCUGACUCCGGGAUAAGCGGUGGAAACGCCGUCUAAUACCGGAUACGACCCUCCGCCUCAUGGCGGCGGGUGGAAAGUUUUUUCGGUCGGGGAUGGGCUCGCGGCCUAUCAGCUUGUUGGUGGGGUAACGGCCUACCAAGGCGAUUACGGGUAGCCGGCCUGAGAGGGCGACCGGCCACACUGGGACUGAGACACGGCCCAGACUCCUGCGGGAGGCAGCAGUGGGGAAUCUUGCGCAAUGGGCGGAAGCCUGACGCAGCGACGCCGCGUGGGGGAUGACGGCCUUCGGGUUGUAAACCUCUUUUACCACUCACGCAGGCCCCGGGUUUUCUCGGGGUUGACGGUAGGUGGGGAAUAAGGACCGGCUAACUAC